rnacentral:rRNA from 1 species
UCAGGAUGAACGCUGGCGGCGUGCUUAACACAUGCAAGUCGAACGAGAAAGCUCCUUCGGGAGUGAGUACAGUGGCGAACGGGUGCGUAACACGUUGGUGACCUGCCUUGAGGAGGGGGACAACCGUGGGAAACCACGGCUAAUACCCCGGAUGUCUAAACUGUUAGAGGGUUUAGACUAAAACUUCGGUGCCUCAAGAGGGGCCUGCGGGCUAUCAGCUUGUUGGUGGGGUAAUGGCCUACCAAGGCUAAGACGGCUAGGGGGCGUGAGAGCGCGACCCCCCACAAUGGAACUGAGACACGGUCCAUACUCCUACGGGAGGCAGCAGUGAGGAAUAUUGCGCAAUGGGGGAAACCCUGACGCAGCAACGCCGCGUGAACGAUGAAGGCCUUCGGGUCGUAAAGUUCUUUUCUAAGGGAAGAUAGUGACGGUACCUUAGGAAUAAGUCCCGGCUAACUACGUGCCAGCAGCCGCGGUAAAACGUAGGGGGCGAGCGUUAUCCGGAUUUAUUGGGCGUAAAGCGCACGUAGGUGGCGCUGUAAGUUAGACGUGAAAGCUCUCGGCUCAACUGAGAGAGGUCGUUUAAAACUGCAGUGCUUGAGGUUAGAAGAGGAGAGCAGAAUUCCCGGUGUAGUGGUGGAAUGCGUAGAUAUCGGGAGGAAUACCAGUGGCGAAGGCGGCUCUCUAGUCUACACCUGACACUGAGGUGCGAAAGCGUGGGUAGCGAACGGGAUUAGAUACCCCGGUAGUCCACGCUGUAAACGAUGGAUACUAGGUGUAGGGGGUCAUUUAACCCCUCUGUGCCGAAGCAAACGCGUUAAGUAUCCCGCCUGGGGACUACGGCCGCCAGGUUAAAACUCCAAGGAAUUGACGGGGGCCCGCACAAGCAGCGGAGCGUGUGGUUCACUUCGAUGAUACGCGAAGAACCUUACCUUGGGCUGAACUACGUUGGUAAUAGUUGAAGCGAAAGCGGAUCGACCCUUCGGGGAGCCUCGAUAGGUGCUGCAUGGCUGUCGUCAGCUCGUGUCGUGAGAUGUUGGGUUAAGUCCCGCAACGAGCGCAACCCUCGUCGCUAGUUACAAGUGUCUAGCGAGACUGCCGGUAUCAAACCGGAGGAAGGUGGGGAUGACGUCAAGUCAGCAUGGUCUUUAUGUCCAGGGCUACACACACGCUACAAUGGUCGGUACAAUAGGUUGCCACACCGCGAGGUGGAGCUAAUCCUCAAAGCCGAUCUCAGUUCGGAUUGUAGUCUGCAACUCGACUACAUGAAGGCGGAGUUGCUAGUAACCGCGCGUCAGCAUAGUGCGGUGAAUGCGUUCCCGGGCCUUGUACACACCGCCCGUCACAUCAUGGGAGUCGGUAACACCUGAAGUCGGUGACCUAACCGAAAGGGGGGAGCUGCCUAAGUGGGAUCGGUAACUGGGAUGAA